rnacentral:lncRNA from 1 species
AUUAUUAAACAAAACAUAACAAAAACUUCUCCCAAAGAAAUACCUCAUUUCCCACAGGGCCAAGGAAGGAAGCUGUGCUGUGCACUGAGGUGGAGGCGUCCAACAGACCCAGUGGCUACAAGGAGCAACCCUGACGAGACCUCUGGAGGCACUGAGAAAAUGAGAAGACUCAAGUUCAAGGGGGCUGCAGUCCAUCCCAUGGGAAUGACCUCUCCCUAGUUCACCCACUUGGCCACCAUCACUGCAUUCAUCCUGCCUCCUGGGCCCAGCUGACUGGCUCAAUAGCAGGUACCUGACUCAAUCUGCAUGGCAGAGCAGUUC